rnacentral:lncRNA from 1 species
AGAGAAGUCUUGCUAGACUUCUAAAGAGCAGAGGAAGGAGUACUUCUGGGCAUAUCUUGUGCUUAAACCAGCUGAAACAUUAAAAAAUAGCAUUCUUAGGAACCAUGCUGGAGGCUAAGGCCUGUUUUUCAGUGUCUUCAGGAAAAGACAGUGAGAGAAAGUGAGAAGACAGUUUUCCUGACAGAUAAGAAUUAAGGCCACGUGUGAUAAUGAAGUUUGUUACUACAUUCAAUGACAUCUGGUUUUGGACAAACUAAAUCAAAAAUAAUUGGAUUCUUUUCCCUGUACUUCAAAAUCUCACAGAAACACUGGAGAAUUGGUAUCUAAGGACAAGCACAAAUAUGCAUUUUCUGUACAAAGAAUGGUCCCGUACUCUGCAGGUCUCA